GAUGAACGCUGGCGGCGUGCCUAAUACAUGCAAGUCGAGCGAACGGACGAGAAGCUUGCUUCUCUGAUGUUAGCGGCGGACGGGUGAGUAACACGUGGAUAACCUACCUAUAAGACUGGGAUAACUUCGGGAAACCGGAGCUAAUACCGGAGGAUAUUUUGAACCGCAUGGUUCAAAAGUGGAAGACGGUCUUGCUGUCACGUAUAGAUGGAUCCGCGCUGCAUUAGCUAGUUGGUAAGGUAACGGCUUACCAAGGCAACGAUGCAUAGCCGACCUGAGAGGGUGAUCGGCCACACUGGAACUGAGACACGGUCCAGACUCCUUCGGGAGGCAGCAGUAGGGAAUCUUCCGCAAUGGGCGAAAGCAUGACGGAGCAACGCCGCGUGAGUGAUGAAGGUCUUCGGAUCGUAAAACUCUGUUAUUAGGGAAGAACAUAUGUGUAAGUAACUGUGCACAUCUUGACGGUACCUAAUCAGAAAGCCACGGCUAACUACGUG
rnacentral:rRNA from 1 species